AUUGGCUGUAACAAUAGCAUCAGUUCCUUACUUGUGGGAGGAGCUGGCUGUUUCUACCAGAAAGACAGGUUCUAAGAUAGAACCCUAGUCUCAAGUCCCACUUCACCAUUCAGCCUGUGGCAAGUCCUAGGAUCUCAAGAACGUUCAAGCACCUGCUUGUCCUCCAAGGGAAUACCACUUCCAUAGCUACUACGAAGACUUCCAAUAUCAUCUUCUCCAGUACACCCCA
rnacentral:lncRNA from 1 species